CUGUGGGCUGGUAGGGAGACUGCCGGAGGCUAGAGGGUGGGAGAGGUCAGCGGUAUUCCUGGGGUAGGGGCGAAAUCCUUUGAUCCCAGGAGGACCACCAGUGGCGAAGGCUGCUGACUAGAACACGCCUGACGGUCAGGGACGAAAGCUGGGGUAGCGAAUCGGAUUAGAUACCCGAGUAGUCCCAGCCGUAAACGAUGCAGGCUAGGUGUUGGGGCGGCCACGCGCCGCCUCAGUGCCACAGGGAAGCCAUUAAGCCUGCCGCCUGGGGAGUACGGCCGCAAGGCUGAAACUUAAAGGAAUUUGCGGGGGAGCACCACCAGGCGUGAAGCCUGCGGUUUAAUUGGAGUCGACGCCGGGAACCUUACCGGGAGCGACAGCAGGGUGAAGGCCAGGUUGAAGGUCUUGCCGGACGAGCUGAGAGGAGGUGCAUGGCCGUCGCCAGUUCGUGCC
rnacentral:rRNA from 1 species